rnacentral:rRNA from 1 species
UACGUAGGGGGCAAGCGUUGUCCGGAUUUAUUGGGCGUAAAGAGCGUGUAGGCGGCCAGGUAGGUCUGCUGUGAAAACUCGAGGCUUAACCUCGAGCUGUCGGCGGAAACCAUUUGGCUAGAGUCCGGAAGAGGAGAAUGGAAUUCCCGGUGUAGCGGUGAAAUGCGCAGAUAUCGGGAAGAACACCCGUGGCGAAGGCAGGUCUCUGGGCCACUACUGACGCUGAGAAGCGAAAGCAUGGGGAGCGAACAGG